GUAGGUGGCAAGCGUUGUCCGGAAUUAUUGGGCGUAAAGCGCGCGCAGGCGGUUCUUUAAGUUCUGAUGUGAAAGCCCACGGCUCAACCGUGGAGGGUCAUUGGAAACUGGAGAACUUGAGUACAGAAGAGGAAAGCGGAAUUCCACGUGUAGCGGUGAAAUGCGUAGAGAUGUGGAGGAACACCAGUGGCGAAGGCGGCUUUCUGGUCUGUAACUGACGCUGAGGCGCGAAAGCGUGGGGAGCAAACAGGAUUAGAUACCCUGGUAGUCCACGCCGUAAACGAUGAGUGCUAAGUGUUAGGGGGGUUUUCCGCCCCCCUUAGUGCUGCAGCUAACGCAUUAAGCACUCCGCCUGGGAGUACGGCCGCAAGGCUG
rnacentral:rRNA from 1 species